rnacentral:lncRNA from 1 species
ACUUCCCAGAGACGAUGUAGGAUGAAGGCAGGAGGAGCCACUGAGCAAAACUUCGUGGAGUUGGGUCCAGGGUCCAGUGGCGACAGCGGCUCAUCACCUGAGACCUGACCUGGACAAGCGCGGCCUCCAGGACCAGUCAAGGUCUAUUUGGGUUCCAGGCAGAAAUGUCUGACACCACCCCACGGACCAAGAUGGCCCACCUCUCGCUGACAGAUCAAGGACCGGGGAAGCAGAGGAGGCAGAAUCACCAACAGAACAAGAUGUCUUGAAAGGACACUCAUGACCUAGUGGCAGACACCCAGGCCACAUGACCUCCACAGGCUUCCCUUUCCUCUAUUCUUAUGGCUGUUUUUGUUAUUAUUAAUUUUAACUCUGCCCAGCCUCUUCCCAACCCUCCCAAUAUCCACCGCUGGAGAGUCUUAACUAGGGAGACUUAUGACAGACACAACACAGUCAUAGGAACCCUGGACUGCCCACUUGAAGGAUGCUGGACCAAAAUUGAGAUUCCUCUACACAUCAAUUCCACUCCCAGCCCUUUCCUCUUCUUUCCUUACAACACAGGUGAAGGCCUCCAUAUAUGGAGGUUGCAGAUAUUUGGAGACACCAAAUCGAAUCCCCCCCAGUCAUGGUGGCACCAUGUUCGCCAACCUUAACACUCAUUUUUAGCUUGUCAUCAGUGACCCCUGGGACGAUUGAUGACAAAUGGAAAUUGUAGGUAAGCUACCUACCCUAACAGUUCUGCCAUACUCCAUAGCCAACUUACACAUUUCUUGCCAGCUUAUCCCUGCCUCCAAGUUGGUCUUUACCCACAUUAACAUUAUUCAACAGAAGGCUCAAACUCAAGAAGAGAUCCAAGCCACCCUCUGCUGGCUACAAUAGAAUACAAUAGAAUUCCUUGAAUUCCUCCGCAUGCAAAUAAGGCAUCCCCAGCACCCUGGCCCAGCCAAUGGUGUACACUCAUCCUGAAGACCCCUACUCACCCCCAUGCAAAGGUUAAACACCUUGUGUCUCCCCUAAUAAAUUGAACCAGUUCUCUGAA